AUGAGAGGGGUUCAUGCCAUGGCCAUCUUGUUCGUGGGAUGGCUCACGGUCACUGCACAGUGUCGUAUGGAGGCUGGAAAACGAAGCUAUCUAGACGGUGGCGAUAACAAUGCUACCGUGGCCAACGCGAUAUCAUCGUUAGAUGAUGCCAAGUUUACCGUCAUAUUGUGCGGCAAAUGGAGUUGCGACUUCGGUGACUGCUACUGCUGUGACAUCCGGGAGACCCCAUGUUUCAAGACUUUGGAUGAGUGCAAGUCUAAAUGCCCUAAGUGCAAUCCCAAGUGCCCGCCGCCUGAAUCUUCGAUAGAACUACACGCAUGA
rnacentral:rRNA from 1 species